UACGUAGGGGGCAAGCGUUGUCCGGAUUUAUUGGGCGUAAAGAGCGUGUAGGCGGCCUUACAGGUCAGCUGUGAAAACUCGAGGCUCAACCUCGAGACGUCGGUUGAAACCGUAUGGCUAGAGUCCGGAAGAGGAGAGUGGAAUUCCUGGUGUAGCGGGUGAAAUGCGCAGAUAUCAGGAGGAACACCUGUGGCGAAAGCGGCUCACUGGACCAACAACUG
rnacentral:rRNA from 1 species